AUGAGUUAAUGGGUGCAGCACACCAGCAUGGCACAUGUGUACAUAUGUAACUAACCUGCACAUUGUGCACAUGUACCCUAAAACUUAAAGUAUAAUAAUAAUGAAAUUUAAAAAAAAAUGUUUUUCCCACCUAAGGGCAUAAAACCUUUCACUUAUUUUUGUUCUAGAAUGUUUAUGGUUUCUUUUAACAUUUACAUUUUAAUUGUUUUAGAAUUAUUGUGUUGCAAAAUAGAUUGAUUGCUAUUGUCCUGUGAUGAGUUUUUUAAAAAAUUGAGUUAUUCAAUUGAGAGGGGUAACUCUAGAGUUAUUUUUAAAAUCUGUAACUUGUUACUGUAGAUUUGUGGGAAAUAGAGAACAAACCAACACUGUGAAAUGUUUUCUUCAUCAUGUGGUUCUCUAAGCACUUUUUGUUCCAGUAAUGUCCACUUUUUCCUGAAAUUAUAUAGAAGUGUAUCACUUGUGCUGUAAUAACAUUAUAUGAGAGGACUUAUUAGUGACAAAUUGACAACAGGGAAUAAAUAAGCAUAAUUGACCAGGAGGACAUGGGACAAAGACCAAACCACAAAUGCCCUUAAUUAAGAGGGCAGGAUGAUCCUGCCACAACACAAUUACUUUCAAAAACAAUAAUAUUGAGGCCAAGGGCACCAAGGAACUGGUUGAGAAACGAGUCAUUCAUCACUGCAAAUGGGCAACUGAAGAUAGAGAGGAGUGGCAAGCUGAGAAAGAAGGAGCUGAGGCCUGGCUGAAGUGUGAAGCAAGUCUCUGAGGUAUAUUCUUCUGCUCCAGUGAAAUUCAGAGAAGAGAUUCUGGCAACCAGAAAGCCAUAGGAACUUUCAUGAGCUUGAUUUCUCUUAAGGAAUGAAUGUGUGAAGUGAAAAAUCAAGCAUUAAAUUCAUUAAAUUCCA
rnacentral:lncRNA from 10 species